ensembl:lncRNA
AUUUGCUACGCCUAGAUGAUUUCCUUUGAAACACGCGCUAACUAAAGAUGAGCUCUUAUUUAGAAAUCUGACAAAAGUUUUGGUCAGUAACAGAGUUAAACCAAAAGGUCCAUAUUGGGCAAGAUUUGAACUCAGAGUUUGGACAAAUGUUUCAGACUGACGUUUCUGACUGGAAGCAUUUAUCUAAACAGAGCACAAGGAAUAUGAAGAUACUGUACUGAAGUGUUGGAACCAGUUCAUCCAAGAAUAAGGCAAUGUCUGGAAGAAGAGAAAGGACCCAGCAGUAGAUGUGCAUUGCCCUGGAGCUCACUACUCUGAGGACUCAUUUCACUGAAUGCUAACUUGUUCCUCCCUCCUACACUUUUUCCACCAUUAUCAAACGGAGUUGCAAGAAAGGAGAAGAACUGCAGAAAUGAGACAAGAUUCUAGAACAAUUUUGCAAUUCGUUCAAGACCUGAAUGUUACUGAAACAGAAGCACAAAUUCUCCUGAGAUGAAUUUCAGCAGUAUUAACAGCACAUCCAAAACAAAUGUGUUGCUUCAAGAAACAGCUGAGCUGCAACAGAUAAAGAGUUGCUCUAAUAUUUAAUUUUCAUACAUAAUUUAUAUGACAAGAAAGAAUAAUUUAUCAUCUAAAUCAGUCUGGUAGUAUAAUAAUCUUACUCAUUUCAAAUUCACUAAUUAGACGAUAUCUAGUAGUUAACUGCUACUUCUUGGAUGUUUUAUAUUUUCAUUAAUAACUGUCCAGGGUACCUUCAACGCAACUCCUUUUAUUUCAAUUUUUCCCCAACAACCCAAAUACUUACAUAUAUUAGAGUUCUACUCCAUAUUUUCUCUGUUGGUGGGGAGGAACAACUUUAUAUAGAAAAUCCUACUUACAUGGCACUGACAUAUAAAAUCUACUCUUUACUGAUGUCAUUAAGCAGCUGGUAUCUUCCAUGUACAUGGCUUCUCUAAUACUGGCAAAUAGUUAUUGGUAAUUGAAGUCAUAAAGUUGUUCUAAAUUUCCAGCAGUUUAUACAACCUUCCUUUUGUGUAGCUGGCAGAAACAGGUUUGAGAAUAAACUCUAACAGCAACGAAAAAUGUAAACAGAGAGCAUCAGAUAAACGUAGGAUUGUUUAUCGGAAGAUGUCCAUGUUUGUUAAAAUCAUCAAGUUGAUUACCAAAUGCUGAAUCCUACUAGGACUUUUUUUUUUUUUAAAUAACUGGGAGAUAUGACCACAAAACAUAUUUGACAAAAUUAUCCAGUAAGAAACGAUAUUGUUAUUAAAGGAUAUACACUAUACAGCAUAAAAAAUGAGAAGUAGAUUUGAAAUAACCAUCUGACAUACUGACCUUUUGUAAAACUGUUGAACAUUAACAACAGUCAAAGUGGUAGUUUGUUUGACUUUCACACAGUAUCUAAGCCUUGGCAGGGAAACACAAGACAAGGCCUCAUCUUCUGCAGUGAAAUUAUUUCCUGCUCUCAGGCAUAUAACACAAAUAGUGAAUUCCAGUAUAGUUUCUACCAAUCUGGUUGUAAGCUGAAUCUCACUUAUUUCAAAUGGAAAGCCUACAGUUUGAAAGCACAGCAUAGCUUCAGGCAUUCUUACUAUAUGAUUUGAUUCUUUGCAGAGAAAAAAUUCUUAUCUGAUAAGCCACAUUGCUUUCUUUGCCUGUUUCAAAAGGACACUGACUUUUACCCCCUCAAGUAUAUUCCCUGUAUUAACAUGAUUGUCCUUUCCAAAAUGCACAUACUUGGAAACAAGUAACCUCUCAGCACUCUCUUCCUGAUGAAAGCUUAAGAUGUCCACAAGCGCUGAAAUUGAGUUUACAUACCUUUGCAGAGAGGAACCCUCUGUUCCAUCAUUACCACAAAACCUAUGUAAAAAGGGCAUUUGACAGUGCGUGAUCCCCCAGAAAUACCUCUAGAACAGACUGUACAGAUUUAAUGUUAUGCUGGACAUCUACAUGCAAGUGGCAAUUAGAGCAUAAAAUAAUAGGAAAGAGUACUUCAAGGAAUAUCUCUUAUAAACAUACUAUUUUUACAUAGCCUCAGAAUAGUCAGUGAAAGAGAUAGUAACACCAUUGGUUAGAAAAUUGAAACACUAUGCAUGAGUGCAUGCUGUUCUCUUUGGAAUUUCAGUCUUUUAUUGCGAUCUAUUCAAAAUCUUUCACUGAUUCUGAAUAAAUCCUUCAGUUCUUCUUCAUACAGUUCUAAUGAUGCAUCUCUCCUUAAGAUAUUUUUCCAUCUCUUUUCCUUUCAAAGGCUACCUUAAUAGAACGCUUGACCAGCAAUGGAUGGGGUUCUGAGUUUUUCUUAGGAUUCAUUUAUGACUCCUUUCCAUUGUCUAGACAGCCUAGCCAUUCGCAUUACCAUUGUAGAUUCUGCGAGUACUUAAACUAAGAAGUAUCCUCUCUCGCAGCUUGCCCAAGUGUUUAAUCAUGCUCUCUUCUAUCUUUUUUGCCUCCCCAGUAAUAUUAAAAUGCACUGCCCUUCUCUCGGUCAGAUGGUGCUGAGUCACCAAUACCUUUAAACUAAUACAUACAUGCUGCAGUCGAAGAGAAAAAAAUUACCAUUAGCUUUUAGAGGGUCUUGCUCAUGAUGGGCCAUAAGUUUCUUCCUGGUUCUGGACUUUAUUGAACAGCCUGUGAGAGUCUCAGCUCAUAAAUCAGUAGCAGUGAUAUUGAAAUACCACUGCUGCUUCACAGCGUCUGGGUGGUCACAGUCAGACUCUCUCCACCCGCUCAGUAUAUUGGUAACCAGCAUUUGGCCCUCAAAAUAGUAGUGGCUGGUUUUUGAACAAAUAUUUCCAUGUCUAGUAGGGGACCUUGUUUUUCAGCUAGAUGUGCGAGGAACAGAGUGUGAUCCUGGCGUUGUCAUUCAGCCUUAAAAUGUAUCUCAAGCAGUAAAAAACAUGGAAGCAGAAGCUUCCCAUUCAUCAUUUGUUACUCAGACUGAAUCCUAGCUGGCUGCCUCAAAGCCCCAUGAUAGUCAGAUAUUCCUAUGGAAAUGGAAACCUCUGAUGACAUAGAAAAGUUGUCUGGCUCUGAUGUGUGGAUGUGAUAGGCAACUGUGCUUUCACUGCAGUACUUUGAAAAUGCUUUUUCCUCAUAGUUAUGACAAUGUUGGCAAAAUCACUUUAAAUUGUCACUGUUUCACUAACCCUCGGAGCUACUGAGUAUUACUUGCAAUAUGCUUAACUCAACUUUUAGACAUCUGGAAGGCUGCAGUUUUCCUUCUCACACUUUCCAUUGGGCUAACAUAGCCCAGGGAAAUCUGCCUCAAGUGUUGAUCUGCAAAUAAAAUAAAGGCUUUUUCUACUUCUUUAUAAUUCCAAAAACUAUUCUUCUGUACAACAGCAUAGUGUUUGUGGAGCCUUUACAAAAAGAAACAAAUCCACAGAGAUGUCAUGAGUCUAUGGCACAACUCAGCUACAACCACCAUAAAUCAUGAUACAAUUUUUCCAGAUCAGUAUUUUCUGCAGGCACAUUUCAUGUAAAAUCCUGUUUGUCCAAAAGAACCACUCCAGCUUGCCCUUUUAAUUAGCUGAAGUUGCUCCUUAAGAUCAAAGACACAUAAAUGAUCGGUAAGGGGCAAUUAUAGCCGUUGCAGACAAAAUGAGGAUUAUUAGUUUCCACUAACCCUUUGACAGCCUGGCUUGAUUGUCUAACCACAGUGUUCUCAAAAUCUUUGGAAAGAAUACAAGUUUCCUGGGGUAGAACAUCAGAAGUGGUUACACAAAACUCAGGGCAAUGGACACGAGGUUCAAUUGAAAAAUGAAUUGAGUGCUAUUACGAGGCUCUAUGCAUACACUGCUGUUAGCUCUCCUCAACUUUCAGCAAUUUCUGCAGUAAAAUAUGGUUGUGAGGUUUUCAUUUCAAGUAAUUUUCAUGUCAAGUAAUUAAGCACUCAACAAAGAAUUACCUUUAUAAUGCAAAAUUUCUUAAGAACGUUUCUCAGAAGAGUACUUCAGUGUUGUUGGCAUUAUAGAACAUUAAAAAAUACAAUGUUUAUCAAGAAACAAUGGCUUAAUGCAACAUCUUCUGAUAAUCAUGUAUGUAGGGUGCUCUAUGACAUGUCACGAAUUUCAACGUAAAACAUCUAAAACGUAAUGACUUGAGAAACUCCUUGACACCUCUGCUUACUCAACUACACUAUACAGAGAUAAAUGUGCAUAUGUUACUUAAAACUGAACAGAAUUCAUGCCAUUUAUUAAAUAAAAAA